rnacentral:tRNA from 2 species
AGGCUCGUAGCUCAGGGGGAGAGCGCUUCCUUGACACGGAAGAGGUCGGCGGUUCGAUACCGCCCGGGCCUACCA